AAGUUCGAUACCUAUCUCCGCCACAAUUCCCAGAGAAAAAUCAGACAAAGCGUUAUGUCCGGAAACCUCCUCCUUUCUUCCCGCAACGCCGCCUCUCCCUACCUCGUGCCUUCUUCCUCCCGUCUCCCCUUCGCCUUCCCUCGCGCCACCACAUGGGGAUCCAGGCGGAGCUAGCCCAGCCCUCGCAUGGAGCCUAGCAUCGCCAGACCAGCACUUCCGAUGGGACAAGUAGCGCCUAGCCCCAACGCGCCAAACCCUAGAGUCGUGGGGCGCAGCCUUGGAUUAGGGGAUUCAAGGUGAUUGUGAGAUUCAAGGUGAUUGUGAGAUUCAUUGCAAUCCCAAUGCCUAUGUUUCCUGGGCUCCCAGCGCUUCGCAGUUCAGGCUACAUACAAGGACAAUUGGCCACCGGCAGGAUUGGUGCCGCCCCUCACCAGGCCGCUCGCCCGUCCAUCUCCAGGCCACCCAUCUCCAAACAAGGACAACAGGCCACACGGCAUCGACGACCCUCACCCCUAUAGGUGCUUAAAAUUAUGGUUCAAAUAGGGGUCCUUGUUCCUACUGGCGAUAUGAUUGUUGUUAGAAGAACAACUCAAUUUUUUCUUAUAAUAGGAGAGGAUCUUUUGGCGAUUGCUAUUGACAAGAGCGAACUUGUCUGCUGGAUGACGCUGAGUCCAGGCAAAUUCAGUUAGCCUGAACUGGAACCUACUCUAAAUGUUAAAACAAAGUUGAUAGAGGGGCACUGCAACUGCAAUUUUAAUGUGAGAAAGUUGAUCAAGUGAAACAGGGAGUUGUUGUAGGUAGUUUGGUGAACCAUGCAACUUCAAUUCAAUCAAGGGACCAGCAACCAUUGCAUACUCCUAUGCAUUCUUCAGGCUACAACUUCUGAUCGGGCUUGUCAAGGUUAAAAAGUUGGAUCAGCUGGAGAGACUGAUAAGUGGCACAACCUGAGCAACGAUCUGAUCAAUUGUUGCACUGGAUGGCCGAUGGCAUUGUGAUGAUGGUGGGCAUGGCAUUCUGACAGUCAUUGGGAUCAAUGGAGACUGGAGAGGGCAGAGUGCCAGCAUGAUAGAUGGAAGGAUUCAGUGUGUGGAUUGCGCGCAAAUAAGCUAAGGAGUUUUUCUUUUGUUGUUAGACAUUGUGACAUGUAGAAAAAAAUGACACCACUUCCAAGUUCUAAACUCAAAAUAUUGUCUAUUGUUUUGGUUCACUAUUGGAUGAUCAGGAGGGUGCUGUUGUCAUUUGAAAUGGGGGGAUGUCUAUGCCCACAGGUGGUUUCGUUGCUCAGUCUGAUGUAGUACGAUCUUAUUGUAUUUUUUUUAUAGUUAUGAAAUCUCAAGGAUGGUUGCCAAUA